rnacentral:rRNA from 1 species
UACGUAGGGUGCAAGCGUUGUCCGGAAUUAUUGGGCGUAAAGCGCUCGCAGGCGGCUCGAUGCGUCGUGCGUGAAACACCCCGGCUCAACUGGGGAGGGUCGUGCGAUACGGUCGGGCUGGAGGCCAGUAGGGGGAUGCGGAAUUCCGGGUGUAGUGGUGGAAUGCGUAGAGAUCCGGAGGAACACCAGCGGCGAAGGCGGCAUCCUGGACUGGUCCUGACGCUCAGGAGCGAAAGCGUGGGGAGCGAGUCCGG